GGGGCAGCAGCUCAGUGAUAGAGCUUCCGCUUCGUAUGCGGUAAGAUUUGGGUUCGAUUCUCGGCUGCCUUC
rnacentral:tRNA from 1 species